rnacentral:rRNA from 1 species
GACGAACGCUGGCGGCGUGCUUAACACAUGCAAGUCGAACGGAAAGGCCCUGCUUUUGUGGGGUGCUCGAGUGGCGAACGGGUGAGUAACACGUGAGUAACCUGCCCUUGACUUUGGGAUAACUUCAGGAAACUGGGGCUAAUACCGGAUAGGAGCUCCUGCUGCAUGGUGGGGGUUGGAAAGUUUCGGCGGUUGGGGAUGGACUCGCGGCUUAUCAGCUUGUUGGUGGGGUAGUGGCUUACCAAGGCUUUGACGGGUAGCCGGCCUGAGAGGGUGACCGGCCACAUUGGGACUGAGAUACGGCCCAGACUCCUACGGGAGGCAGCAGUGGGGAAUAUUGCACAAUGGGCGGAAGCCUGAUGCAGCAACGCCGCGUGCGGGAUGACGGCCUUCGGGUUGUAAACCGCUUUCGCCUGUGACGAAGCGUGAGUGACGGUAAUGGGUAAAGAAGCACCGGCUAACUACGUGCCAGCAGCCGCGGUGAUACGUAGGGUGCGAGCGUUGUCCGGAUUUAUUGGGCGUAAAGGGCUCGUAGGUGGUUGAUCGCGUCGGAAGUGUAAUCUUGGGGCUUAACCCUGAGCGUGCUUUCGAUACGGGUUGACUUGAGGAAGGUAGGGGAGAAUGGAAUUCCUGGUGGAGCGGUGGAAUGCGCAGAUAUCAGGAGGAACACCAGUGGCGAAGGCGGUUCUCUGGGCCUUUCCUGACGCUGAGGAGCGAAAGCGUGGGGAGCGAACAGGCUUAGAUACCCUGGUAGUCCACGCUGUAAACGGUGGGUACUAGGUGUGGGGUCCAUUCCACGGGUUCCGUGCCGUAGCUAACGCUUUAAGUACCCCGCCUGGGGAGUACGGCCGCAAGGCUAAAACUCAAAGGAAUUGACGGGGCCCCGCACAAGCGGCGGAGCAUGCGGAUUAAUUCGAUGCAACGCGUAGAACCUUACCUGGGUUUGACAUGGAUCGGGAGCGCUCAGAGAUGGGUGUGCCUCUUUUGGGGUCGGUUCACAGGUGGUGCAUGGCUGUCGUCAGCUCGUGUCGUGAGAUGUUGGGUUAAGUCCCGCAACGAGCGCAACCCUUGUUCACUGUUGCCAGCACGUUAUGGUGGGGACUCAGUGGAGACCGCCGGGGUCAACUCGGAGGAAGGUGGGGAUGACGUCAAGUCAUCAUGCCCCUUAUGUCCAGGGCUUCACGCAUGCUACAAUGGCUGGUACAGAGAGUGGCGAGCCUGUGAGGGUGAGCGAAUCUCGGAAAGCCGGUCACAGUUCGGAUUGGGGUCUGCAACUCGACCUCAUGAAGUCGGAGUCGCUAGUAAUCGCAGAUCAGCAACGCUGCGGUGAAUACGUUCCCGGGGCU